rnacentral:misc_RNA from 1 species
GAAAUGCGAUAAGUAGUGUGAAUUGCAGAAUUCAGUGAAUCAUCGAAUCUUUGAACGCACAUUGCGCCCUUUGGUAUUCCAUGGGGCAUGCCUGUUCGAGCGUCAUUUCAACCCUCAGAACCCCUUGCGGGAUCUGGCGUUGGGGAUUGGCAUCCAGCCAGCCCCGAAAUCUAGUGGCGGUCCCUCCGCGACCUCCCCUGUGCAGUAGCGAUACCUCGCAGCGGGACAGCGGUCUGACCACGCCGUAAAACCCCCAACUUCUCAAGGUUGACCUCGAAUCAGGUAGGAAUACCCGCUGAACUUAAGC